CUUCUAUUAUUUGCAGUCAGUAACAAAGAUUCAUCCUUGUGUCUGUCAAGCAACAAGGAGAAUCUUUGUCACUUAGUGUAAUUAAUAGCUGUAC
rnacentral:pre_miRNA from 10 species